rnacentral:rRNA from 1 species
UACGGAGGGUGCAAGCGUUGCUCGGAAUCACUGGGCGUAAAGCGAACGCAGGCGGACGUUUAAGUCGGAUGUGAAAUCCCCGGGCUCAACCUGGGUCGUGCAUUCGAUACUGAACAUCUUGAGUUCGGAAGAGGGUGGUGGAAUCCCUGGUGUAGAGGUGAAAUUCGUUGAUAUCAGGGGGAACAUCGGCGGCGAAGGCGGCCACCGGGUCCGAUAUUGACGCUCAUGUUCGAAAGCGUGGGGAGCAAACAGG